rnacentral:rRNA from 1 species
CACGUAGGGUGCAAGCGUUGUCCGGAUUCAUUGGGCGUAAAGGGCUAGUAGGCGGCUUAGCAAGUCGGGUGUGAAAACUUCAGGCUCAACCUGGAGCGGCCAUCCGAUACUGCUAUGGCUAGAGUCCGGUAGGGGACCACGGAAUUCCUGGUGUAGCGGUGAAAUGCGCAGAUAUCAGGAGGAACACCGGUGGCGAAGGCGGUGGUCUGGGCAGUAACUGACGCUGAGGAGCGAAAGCGUGGGGAGCGAACAGG